rnacentral:rRNA from 1 species
UACGAAGGGGGGCUAGCGUUGUUCGGAAUUACUGGGCGUAAAGGGCGCGUAGGCGGUCCUGAUCGUCGGAUGUGAAAGGCCUGGGCUCAACCUGGGAAUGGCAUCCGAUACGGCGGGACUGGAGUGUGGGAGAGGUUGGUGGAAUUCCCAGUGUAGAGGUGAAAUGCGCAGAUAUUAGGAAGAACACCAGUGGCGAAGGCGGCUCACUGGCCCGGUACUGACGCUGAGGCGCGAAAGCGUGGGGAGCAAACAGG